rnacentral:rRNA from 1 species
UGGGGAAUAUUGCGCAAUGGGGGAAACCCUGACGCAGCGACGCCGCGUGGGUGAAGAAGGCCUUCGGGUUGUAAAGCUCUUUUGGGUGGGACGAUGAUGACGGUACCACCAGAAUAAGCUCCGGCUAACUUCGUGCCAGCAGCCGCGGUAAUACGAAGGGAGCUAGCGUUAUCCGGAUUUAUUGGGUUUAAAGGGUGCGUAGGCGGUUAUAUAAGUCAGCGGUGAAAUAUUUCAGCUUAACUGAAAGGGUGCCGUUGAUACUGUCAGGCUUGAAUAUGGUUGCUGUGGGUGGAAUGUGUGGUGUAGCGGUGAAAUGCUUAGAUAUCACACAGAAUAUCGAUUGCGAAGGCAGCUCACAAAGCCAUUAUUGACGCUGAUGCACGAAAGUGUGGGGAUCAAACA